rnacentral:rRNA from 1 species
CCUACGGGAGGCAGCAGUGAGGAAUAUUGGUCAAUGGACGAGAGUCUGAACCAGCCAAGUAGCGUGAAGGAUGACUGCCCUAUGGGUUGUAAACUUCUUUUAUAUGGGAAUAAAACGUUCCACGUGUGGGAUUUUGUAUGUACCAUAUGAAUAAGGAUCGGCUAACUCCGUGCCAGCAGCCGCGGUAAUACGGAGGAUCCGAGCGUUAUCCGGAUUUAUUGGGUUUAAAGGAAGCGUAGGUGGAUUGUUAAGUCAGUUGUGAAAGUUUGCGGCUCAACCGUAAAAUUGCAGUUGAAACUGGCAGUCUUGAGUACAGUAGAGGUGGGCGGAAUUCGUGGUGUAGCGGUGAAAUGCUUAGAUAUCACGAAGAACUCCGAUUGCGAAGGCAGUUCACUGGACUGCAACUGACACUGAGGCUCGAAAGUGUGGGUAUCAAACAGGAUUAGAUACCCGAGUAGUC